UACAGAGGUCUCAAGCGUUUGUUCGGAUUCAUUGGGCGUAAAGGGUGCGUAGGUGGCGCGGUAAGUCGGGUGUGAAAUCUCGGAGCUUAACUCCGAAAUUGCAUUCGAUACUGCCGUGCUCGAGGACUGGAGAGGAGACUGGAAUUCAUGGUGUAGCAGUGAAAUGCGUAGAGAUCAUGAGGAAGACCAGUGGCGAAGGCGGGUCUCUGGACAGUUCCUGACACUGAGGCACGAAGGCCAGGGGAGCAAACGGG
rnacentral:rRNA from 1 species